AAGGUCCCCCACAUUGGAACUGAGACACGGUCCAAACUCCUACGGGAGGCAGCAGUGAGGAAUAUUGGUCAAUGGCCGGAAGGCUGAACCAGCCAAGUCGCGUGAGGGAAUAAGGCCCUACGGGUCGUAAACCCCUUUUGUCAGGGAGCAAGGCCGCCCACGUGUGGACGGAAGGAGAGUACCUGGAGAAAAAGCAUCGGCUAACUCCGUGCCAGCAGCCGCGGUAAUACGGAGGAUGCGAGCGUUAUCCGGAUUUAUUGGGUUUAAAGGGUGCGUAGGCGGCCUGCCAAGUCAGCGGUAAAAUUGCGGGGCUCAACCCCGUACAGCCGUUGAAACUGCCGGGCUCGAGUGGGCGAGAAGUAUGCGGAAUGCGUGGUGUAGCGGUGAAAUGCAUAGAUAUCACGCAGAACCCCGAUUGCGAAGGCAGCAUACCGGCGCCCUACUGACGCUGAGGCACGAAAGUGCGGGGAUCAAACAGGAUUAGAUACCCUGGUAGUCCGCACAGU
rnacentral:rRNA from 1 species